AGAGUUUGAUCAUGGCUCAGAUUGAACGCUGGCGGUAACUUUUAAACAUGCAAGUCGAGCGGUAACAGACAUAAAGAUUCAGCUUGCUGAAUCCGGUGCUGACGAGCGGCGAACGGGUGAGUAACGCGUAGGAAUCUACCCAGUAGCGGGGGAUAGCCCGAGGAAACUCGGAUUAAUACCGCAUACGCCCUGAGGGGGAAAGGGGGCAGUUUACUGCUCUCACUAUUGGAUGAGCCUGCGUAAGAUUAGCUUGUUGGUAGGGUAAUGGCCUACCAAGGCGACGAUCUUUAGCUGGUCUGAGAGGACGAUCAGCCACAUUGGGACUGAGACACGGCCCAGACAUCUACGGAUGGCAGCAGUUAAGAAUAUUGGACAAUGGGGGCAACCCUGAUCCAGGUAUACCGCGUGUGUGAAGAAGGCCCUAGGGUUGUAAAGCACUUUAAUCAGAGAAGAAGCAUUUUAAGUUAAUACCUUAUUAUGUUGACGUUACCUGAAGAAUAAGGACCGGCUAACUCCGUGCCAGCAGCCGCGGUAAUACGGAGGGUCCAAGCGUUAAUCGGAAUUACUGGGCGUAAAGCGCGCGUAGGCGGUUUAGCAAGUUGUAUGUGAAAGCCCUGGGCUCAACCUAGGAACUGCAUCCAAAACUACUAAGCUAGAGUACGAGAGAGGAGAGUAGAAUUUCUGGUGUAGCGGUGAAAUGCGUAGAUAUCAGAAGGAAUACCAAUGGCGAAGCAGCUCUCUGGCUCGUCACUGACGCUGAGUGCGAAAGCGUGGGUAGCAACAGGAUUA
rnacentral:rRNA from 1 species